AUACUCUGGUUUCUCUUCAAAUCGCAUAAAUCUUUCGCCUUUUACUAAAGAUUUCCGUGGAGAGAAACAGUUCUGAGUGAUCGCACAAUUUUUUGAGACCUCACUUAGUGAGGUCU